rnacentral:lncRNA from 1 species
UUAGUUUUCCUAUAUGUAUGAAUACACUACUCCUUGAUUUAAUGGGGGGAAAAUGCUUCCCCCUGUAUUCAGGUUAUACAAUGUCUUUUGGAAAAGUUUAGCUACAGCCUUUCAUCACCGAGACUGCUCUCUGUUCACACGUAACAGGACUACAACUGUUCCUCCCCAGGAGCUGCGUUCCAGAGUGCGGAACUACUCCAAAAAGCCCUUGGGCAGCCGCAGCCUCUCCCAGUUACACCUCAGAGCAUUGCUGGAGAACGCGGACGUACCAGGCGUUAACAGGAGACAGUGGUUCGUAGCCUGCUGGCUACUCUGCAUUCUGCCAAAGCGGGCAGCCAGGAGAAAGCUGUCUGAUAACAGUGUCUCAGCUUUACUGAGCACCUGUCCAGAUGAUGAGGGAGGUGCCAACUCUAAAUCAAUGCCUAGCCUCUUCUCUGGGCUCCCUGACUUGUAGGUAGGGCUUAACACCAAGUUGUGGGUCUAACUGCUGAGUGAUAAACAGCUUUGGGAGUCCCUACCCUCCAACCAGACACAGGACAGCACCACCUCUAUUCAAAGAGGUUCCGUAUCGAGUACAGAUGGAAGGCUGAUAAAACAGAAAGCAAUCUCGGGCAAUGUCGCUGGUCUUAUGUGUAUUUCCCUUCAUUUCUUCAAGUGAUUCAUGAAACAACCACAGGAUUGGCAGGAGAAAUCGACCUAGCAUAUCCAAGUAAAACAUGUUUUCAUUAGUUUUGCUGCUGGUGACUAGAGUUGGCUUGAUUUUCAUAUUGAUAAAGACACUGCCUCCUGAAGUACAUCUGAGAAAUCUGAUUAUGAAGUUAGAAGCCACACACCUCCUCAGGCGCUCCUGGAAAGCAGGGUGUGUCUCCAGGAAAGCAUGAGGAGAAAAAGACUUGUACAGCAUCUUUUUUAUUUUCUUUACCAUUGCUUUAAUGCACUUUAAAAUUUAUCUACAUUAAUUGGGAACAAAGAAACAAAAAUAGACAUUUCUUUGUUGUUCAUAAAUAACUACUCUCCAUAUUUGAUAAAAAUUUCAAACCAUUAUUUUACCUUCCCACAAAUAUAAUACAUACAAAAUCUUUUCUGAAAUAAUAAGGUCAGCAAAUUAAGUAUCUUGAGACUAACAUAACCACAUACAACCGCUGUUCUACGGACUUCCAGGAACCAAACCAAACACUCCUUAUCAAGAUGCUCUGGGCUUCCUUUUGUUAAUGUUACGUUGUCAAAAUUAUAAUCCUCUGCCAAUAAUAAUUUAUAGAUUCAAGUUGAUUGUCUACAAAUAAAACAUCGCUGGCUCUGAUUUGUGAGUUCUGGAUCGGACACUCCGGUGAGGAUGCUGUGGUGAUAGGCACUAUACACGUGUGAAAACCAAAGAAGUACUGAAUGCCCUGGACUCCAACUACUGACUCGGUAUGUGCCUCAUUUGGCUCAGUAAUAAAUUCACCUGCACCAAACCCGUAUCAAAGUCACUAACUCUCAUAUAUAUAAUAUAUAUUAUAUGUAUAUACACACCCACAACACAUACAUACUAUACACACAGUUUUUAACAACAUGAAGUAAUAUUGUCUCACAAUGAUGUACCAGACGUUUUCCUGGCUGAAAUGAAUCCUGUAAUUGUCAGUGAGCUGCUAGAAGCUUUUCAGAGUUGAGUCAGGUAACUUAGUUACUUAUAUCCUGCCCAUCCUUUGCCCUGCUUCAAUGUCUUGGUAGCUUUGUUUUUUCUUUCUUCCCCUCAGAAGCAUCCUCCCCCACGCCAGGCAUAUUUCCCCCCCAGGAUCACUUCAUUGGACUUCAGAAGCAAGAAAAGGGCACGCAGAGGGAGCAGGCAAUUCUCAGCCACAGUACCUCACACCUGCCUGGAUGUGUGACGUUCUGGGUCCUGUUUGCCCCAUUUGGUGUUAGAAAGCACUUAUUCAAAGCUUUGUCCCUCCUACCCCCCUUGGUCUUUCUGUAGGGCACAGAAGUGGAAGAAGCCCCUUUAGCAGGGGUGGCAGUUCAUUAAAACACACAGCUGUACUUCCUAGCUCUGGGGUCCCAUUCUGUACUUGAGAGUGCAGGUCGCGGAUGCCGUUAUUAAGGUUCGGUGUGGGGUCCAUGAGGUUUUCUCCUGGCAGCCAGUGUCAGGAUUAGUGCAGCCCUGGCCCAGGAGGAAACAGCCUAAUGAAUACCAACUUGGAAAUAGUGCUGUCGGCACAUUAUUUAAGCUUGUACAUGCACACAAUUACACACACACACACAACACACACACACACACACACACACACAGGCCUAUCAUUGGAAAUGGUCAUGGGAAAAGAUGACAAAGGUUUGCAAAGAUAAACCAAUAAGGCACCAGGAAAAAUUAUGAUCAGCCAAUUUAGACAACAUCAAACAUGUAAGGAGGGAAAUCAUAUAAAUUAAGGAGACUUCCUAAAGUCUGGCCAAUGGAUUCACUGACAGGUCACAUUAGUUCCUUUAGACAACUUUCUAAAUCUUCACCCCCAAUUCAUGAAGUGAGACAAUGCUUAAAACCGAACUGUGAAAGGGACAGCCUGGAGGCUGUACAUGGGACAUAAACUGAACCCUAAAUUCUCUCCAAUGUCACAAAGCUAUCUGUGGACAAGUUGCUAGACACCAAAACCCCACAACCUUUCAUUUUAUAAUUGUUUUCAUGAGUAUGAAUUGCCUGCAUAAUAAAAAUGCAAAUCAGGGGAAAGGAGCAUGGGGAAUGGAAAUAGAGGGCGGCCAUAAAUAGAUGUGGCUUCUCUCCCCUGGGUGGGGGAUGGGAUGGUUGACAUUAGUAAGCCUUUAGGGAAAGCAGGUAGGCUGUGUCUCGCAGGGACGGGAUUUAGGGAAAGCAAGGUAAGAACACGGACUGAAAACAAAGCGGCAUCUCUGACAGGUGGUCUGCAACUAGACCCCAGAAGACAUUACCUAUGUCGCCUCUCCAUGGCUCACCAUCCUUUGUCAAUUGCCUUUUUUUCUUCUUCAAAGUAAAUUGGUUGUUUCUUAGGCUUGGCAUGUUGUCAAAAUGAAACAAAUUUUUUUUUUUAAAUGAAGAGUGAAUUCACCUUCAUCUGUUUCAUCCCACAACUUUUAGAUGCACUGUGCAUCAUUUUCUAGAUUCCUCCACAAAGAAAAAAGAAGUUAAGGGGACAACCCAAAGUAAGCACAAGGACUGGAGGCAGUGUGACAAUCUGAGUACUUUCUGGGAAGACAUACUAGAAGGGGGAAGAGGUCAAGGUGAUCAGGAAAGGCCCUCAUUUGAAAAACACAAGAAUUGGCCCUCAGAACAGGAUCUAUUAGAAGGUCCUAAGAAGCAGCUUCUGAAUAAGGACAAGAAGAUGUGCAAAAAGUUCAGGAGCUCCAUGUACUAGGCUUUGUUGAAUCCGCUGAAAUUUUAACUUUGAUUUAGAGUGUGAGUGUGUCAGAGCAGUGCGUUUUUAUAAAGCGAACAGCUUUUGAGAGUCCCCAAAACUACAAUACCAGGCUUCUCCCUGAAGCAAAGGGUUCAACUAUGCAUUCAUUUCCUUAAUAUCCAUGAAGUGAAACCUGGCCUGGGUUUAAAUCUUACAUUCCCAACUUUGGUAUAAAUAAAGAGCCAAUGCCUAGACUCGUCAUUUUCUUAGGGAGCCAUUCUAAAAUUUUAAUUGGUUUUGCCACUUUAGCUUCCCAAAUUCAGGCCCCCCUCAACCCCGGUCAUUGGUAUUUUGCUGGCCAAUGCACUAUCACCUCCUCCAAGUCAUGGCCUCACACUCUUCAUGAAGGAACAGUUAAACAGAUUAGAAAAGCAAACAGAAUUCUUAAAUAGUAAAGAACCGUGUGUGUGUGUGUGUGUGUGUGUGUGUGUGUGUGUUCAUAUAUAGGCUUUCAUAUAUUAAUGAACGGUUAAGCAUUUUCAAAAGCAAACAAUUCUCUAAUAGCAAAGUGCAGACGCACGUGCAUGUGGGUGCAUGCAAGUGUGUGCUCAGGAAUAUAUCGGCCUACUCAAAGAAAAAAAAACCAUACUGAGGCGGGGGAGACGGGACAGCUUUCCUCCUACAGCAGCAGUACCCUGAUCCAGACUUUAAAAGCUUAUGCAUGUGUAUUAUGGGUGUCAUUUGUUUUGAGAGACUGCAGAGAGCAAUGUUUGGCUGCUUUCGGAAUAUAUCUGGCUAAUAAACUAGUCCAAAGUCCAGGGACACUUCUUUUCCCUCAUUGCUGCCAAUGUUUGCUCACAGGUAGCCAGCCUCCCUGCCCCCAGUUCAAGCACCCCAUUGGAGGGUGGGUGUGGCUUCUUAAUCACAGCUCUCCAGGAGAGGAGGCAUAAGAAAAGCUAAAAGACUGUUAAACAUGAUAAAGGAGGUGGGAUGGGGGUGGAGCAGAUAAGAGAGGUGUUGGAAAUUCACUUAAUUACUGGAGGUAUAUCCAUUUUAGUCCUUACAUCUAAAAAGCAGCCCAUUUAACGUCUAUCUCUAAAUACUUCCAGAACAAGCGAGUGGGAUUUACCUUUACCAAAAUGAGAACACAAGUUCUUAAAAAAAAAAAAGGGGGGGGGGAAUCAUUGAAGCCCAUUAACCACCCACCCUUUCUCGGGCACAAGGCUGCCAUUUUACCAGUUUGGAAUUCAAGCUCAACCAAUCACCAUCCUUGAGGUUUUCACUUUUCCAAAUAUUUAUACCGGCACUCUAUAAUGCUACCUCUAACUUUUUCAAGACAAUGCUGGGUGCUGUUAGGAAUGAGAAUGAUUGCAAGUACUACAGAAAAGAAACCGAAGCUGGAUAAAUAAACAACGCUAGGACACACACAGAAUCAGUUGAGGCUCUCCUCUCUAACCUUGUCACUUUGGGGAGGCCCUAGCCCCACAAUGCUCCCCCUCUUGGCAUGAAUUGGGGUUUCCCCUAACUUAGGGACAAGCAGCUCAACCUUAAAGCAUCUCGGACACUUUAAGCAGUGAAAGAACAAGCUGAAAAGUCACACCGACAAGCUCCCAGUCAUAGCAACCUAAACUUUCACUGUUCACAUUUGUUUUAAAGACACAAGUAUAGGAAAUAGAUUUUCCCAAUUUAGAGCACACAGUUCAAAGGAACCUGAACCAAGCAGAACUUCAUUAUGAUGCCAACCUUAGGAUUGUAAAGCCCCCAAAGCAAAGGUAAAUUUUGUUGCCAAAAUGCAACAAAGUUAAAAAUUAAGAAAACUACAUAUAAAUUAAAAAACAGGGUUCCCCUAAAAAAAAAAAAAAACCAGGUAGUAAGAAACACAAUAGAAUACACGUGAGCUGAGCCCCUUUGAGAAGUCCUGGGACCGGUACUGCCUUGAAAGGGCCCCUUUCUCCUCUCCAAGUUGCCCCAGGAGGGGGCAUCAGCACCAUGCAGGUAAACGGAAGUGAACUUGGCAAAAAAACUACCAAACAAAACAAACCCCCUCCCGCCACUCCCGGC